rnacentral:rRNA from 1 species
AGAGUUUGAUCCUGGCUCAGAACGAACGCUGGCGGCGUGCCUAAUACAUGCAAGUCGUGCGAGAAAGUUCCGCUUCGGUGGAGCGAGUAAAGCGGCAAACGGGUGAGUAACACGUAAGUAAUCUGCCCCUAAGUUCGGAAUAACCUUGCCAACGCGGGGAUAAUACCGGAUGUGGUCACGAGAUCGCAUGGUUUCGUGAUUAAAGAUGACCUCUACUUGUAAGUUAUCGCUUUGGGAUGGGCUUGCGCACCAUUAGCUAGUUGGUAGGGUAACGGCCUACCAAGGCUGCGAUGGUUAGCCGACCUGAGAGGGUGAUCGGCCACAUUGGGACUGAGAUACGGCCCAGACUCCUACGGGAGGCAGCAGUAGGGAAUUUUGCGCAAUGGACGAAAGUCUGACGCAGCAACGCCGCGUGAGGGAUGAAGGGUUUCGGCUCGUAAACCUCUGUUGAGUGGGAAGAAACGCCAUACGGUUAAUACCCGUAUGGUCUGACGGUACCAUUCGAGGAAGCUCCGGCUAACUACGCGCCAGCAGCCGCGGUAAUACGUAGGGGGCAAGCGUUGCUCGGAAUUACUGGGCGUAAAGGGAGUGUAGGCGGGAGAGUAAGUCAGGAGUUUAAUCCACAGGCCUAACCUGCGGUCGGCUUUUGAUACUGCUUUUCUUGAGUAUGGGAGAGGAAGAUGGAAUUCCAGGUGUAGCGGUGGAAUGCGUAGAUAUCUGGAAGAACACCAGUUGCGAAGGCGGUCUUCUGGCCCAAUACUGACGCUGAGGCUCGAAAGCUAGGGGAGCAAACAGGAUUAGAUACCCUGGUAGUCCUAGCCAUAAACGAUGGACACUAGUUGGUGGGGGGGUCAAUCCCUUCACUGACGUAGCUAACGCAUUAAGUGUCCCGCCUGGGGAGUACGCUCGCAAGGGUGAAACUCAAAGGAAUUGACGGGGGCCCGCACAAGCGGUGGAGCAUGUGCUUUAAUUCGAUGCAACGCGAAGAACCUUACCUGGGCUUGACAUGGGAGUGAAAGUUUCCAGAGAUGGAAUCCUUUCCGCAAGGAACACUCUACACAGGUGCUGCAUGGUUGUCGUCAGCUCGUGUCGUGAGAUGUUGGGUUAAGUCCCGCAACGAGCGCAACCCCCGUCCUUAGUUGCCAUCAGGUAAUGCUGGGAACUCUAGGGAGACUGCCUGGUCACAACCAGGAGGAAGGUGGGGAUGACGUCAAAUCAUCAUGGCUCUUACGUCCAGGGCUAGACACGUGCUACAAUGGUCGGUACAAUGGGCUGCGACAUCGCGAGGUGAAGCAAAUCCUUAAAACCGGUCUCAGUUCAGAUUGGAGUCUGCAAUUCGACUCCAUGAAGGUGGAAUCGCUAGUAAUCGCGGAUCAGCAUGCCGCGGUGAAUACGUUCCCGGGCCUUGUACACACCGCCCGUCAAGCCAUGAAAGGUGGGAGUACCCGAAGUCAUAGCCUUAACCGCAAGGAUGGGCGUGCCGAAGGUAAGACCACUGAUUGGGGCUAAGUCGUAACAAGGUA